rnacentral:rRNA from 1 species
AAAGGAAUUGACGGGGACCCGCACAAGCAGCGGAGCAUGUGGUUUAAUUCGAAGCAACGCGAAGAACCUUACCAGGGCUUGACAUCCCCCUGACGUACCCGUAACGGGGUAUUCCUUCGGGCAGGGGAGACAGGUGGUGCAUGGUUGUCGUCAGCUCGUGUCGUGAGAUGUUGGGUUAAGUCCCGCAACGAGCGCAACCCUUGUCAUUAGUUGCCAUCAUUAGGUUGGGCACUCUAAUGAGACUGCCGGGGAUAACUCGGAGGAAGGUGGGGAUGACGUCAAAUCAUCAUGCCCCUUAUGUCCUGGGCUACACACGUGCUACAAUGGCCGUUACAGCGAGAAGCGAAGCCGCGAGGCGGAGCGGACCUCCAAAAGCGGCCCCAGUUCGGAUCGCGGGCUGCAACCCGCCCGCGUGAAGCCGGAGUUGCUAGUAAUCGCGGAUCAGCACGCCGCGGUGAAUGCGUUCCCGGGUCUUGUACACACCGCCCGU